rnacentral:rRNA from 1 species
AGUGAACGCUGGCGGUAGGCCUAACACAUGCAAGUCGAACGGCAGCACAGUAAGAGCUUGCUCUUACGGGUGGCGAGUGGCGGACGGGUGAGGAAUACAUCGGAAUCUACUUUUUCGUGGGGGAUAACGUAGGGAAACUUACGCUAAUACCGCAUACGACCUACGGGUGAAAGCAGGGGAUCUUCGGACCUUGCGCGAUUGAAUGAGCCGAUGUCGGAUUAGUUAGUUGGCGGGGUAAAGGCCCACCAAGGCGACGAUCCGUAGCUGGUCUGAGAGGAUGAUCAGCCACACUGGAACUGAGACACGGUCCAGACUCCUACGGGAGGCAGCAGUGGGGAAUAUUGGACAAUGGGCGCAAGCUUGAUCCAGCCAUACCGCGUGGGUGAAGAAGGCCUUCGGGUUGUAAAGCCCUUUUGUUGGGAAAGAAAAGCAGCAGGUUAAUACCCCGCUGUUCUGACGGUACCCAAAGAAUAAGCACCGGCUAACUUCGUG